rnacentral:rRNA from 1 species
GCCUAUGGCCAUGCUGCCCUGAACAAGCCCGAUCCUGUCUGAUCUCGGAAGCUAAGCAGUGUCGGGCCUGGUUAGUACUUGGAUGAGAGACCACCUAGGAAGACCAGGUGCUGCUGUAG